CUUUUGAAUUGCGCGGUCUAGC
rnacentral:miRNA from 1 species